rnacentral:rRNA from 1 species
UCUACCGUAAACGAUGACACCAGCGAUUAGUCGGUGUUAAUAUACGACCCGACUAGCAGCUUCCGGGAAACCAAAGUUUUUCGUUUCCGGGGGAAGUAUGGUUGCAAAGCUGAAACUUAAAGGAAUUGACGGAAGGGCACCACCAGGAGUGGAGCCUGCGGCUUAAUUUGACUCAACACGGGAAAACUCACCCGGCCCGGACACCGUAAGGAUUGACAGACUGAGAGCUCUUUCUUAAUUCGGUGGGUGGUGGUGCAUGGCCGUUCUUAGUUGGUGGAGCGAUUUGUCUGGUUAAUUCCGAUAACGAACGAGACUCUGGCCUAUUAAAUAGUCGGUAUAUCCAGAAAAGUUUACCGUACUUCUUAGAGGGACAAACGGCGUCUAGCCGCGUGAAAUAGAGCAAUAACAGGUCUGUGAUGCCCUUAGAUGUCCGGGGCUGCGCGCGCGCUACACUGAAAGAAUCAGUAUGCGCUUUAACCUAGUCCGGAAGGAUUGGGUAACCCGAGCAAAUUCUUUCGUGCUUGGGAUAGGGAAUUGCAAUUAUUUCCCUUAAACGAGGAAUUCCCAGUAAAUGCGGGUCAUAAGCUCGCGUUGAUUACGUCCCUGCCCUUUGUACACACCGCCCGUCGCUACUACCGAUUGGAUGACUUAGUGAGGUCUUAGGACCGACGUAAAGGAGCUUUCGCGAGUUCUUUUUCGUUGGAAAUUUGAUCGAACUACGUUAUCUAGA